rnacentral:rRNA from 1 species
GCUCACUGACCUUUAAACUAGCCGCAGUUUAUGUGCUAAGGUAGCAUAAUCACUUGUCUUUUAAUUGAGGACUAGAAUGAAAGGUUUAACAUUUUAUUUCUUUAAUUUUUUAAUAAAAUAAAAUUUUACUAAAUGUAAAAAUACAUUUAUUAAAUAAAAAGACGACAAGACCCUAUCGAACUUUACUUUUAGUUCUACUGGGGCAGUAGUUUAAUAAAAAUUUUGAAUUCUUAUUUUAUAAAUGACCUAAUAAUUAUUAAUAAAAUGAAUAAGUUACCGUAGGGAUAACAGCGUUAUUCUUAUUUAAAGUUCUUAUAAAAAUGAGAGUUUGCGACCUCGAUGUUGAAUUAAUUUUCCUAAAUGAUGCAAUCAUCAUUAAUUAGUAGGUCUGUUCGACCUUUAAUAAAUUACA